UACGUAGGGUGCAAGCGUUGUCCGGAAUUAUUGGGCGUAAAGAGCUCGUAGGCGGUCUGUCGCGUCUGCUGUGAAAACUCGGGGCUUAACCCCGGGCCUGCAGUGGGUACGGGCAGACUAGAGUGCGGUAGGGGAGACUGGAAUUCCUGGUGUAGCGGUGAAAUGCGCAGAUAUCAGGAGGAACACCGAUGGCGAAGGCAGGUCUCUGGGCCACUACCGACGCUGAGAAGCGAAAGCAUGGGGAGCGAACAGG
rnacentral:rRNA from 1 species